GUCAGGGCAUGACCCAUGAUAGGGCGGUGGAAAAGUCCUGGCGUGAGUGCAUCUCCAUCCACGUGGGCCAAGGCGGGCGUGCAGAUCGGGAACGCCUGCUGGGAGCUGUACUGCCUGGAGCACGGCAUCCAGCCCGACGGGCAGAUGCCCAGCGACAAAACCAUCGGCGGGGGGGACGACUCCUUCAACACCUUCUUCAGCGAGACGGGGGCCGGCAAGCACGUGCCCCGGGCCGUCUUCGUGGACCUGGAGCCCACGGUGAUCGAUGAGGUGCGCACGGGGACCUACGGCAGCUCUUCCACCCCGAGCAGCUGAUCACGGGCAAGGAGGAUGCGGCCAACAACUACGCCCGUGGGCACUACACCAUCGGGAAGGAGAUCAUCGACCUGGUCCUCGACCGCAUCCGCAAGCUGGCUGACCAGUGCACGGGGCUCCAGGGCUUCCUGGUCUUCCACAGCUUUGGGGGAGGCACCGGCUCCGGCUUCACCUCCCUGCUCAUGGAGCGCCUCUCCGUUGACUACGGGAAGAAAUCCAAGCUGGAAUUCUCCAUCUACCCGGCUCCCCAGGUCUCCACAGCUGUGGUGGAGCCCUACAACUCCAUCCUCACCACCCACACCACCCUGGAGCACUCCGACUGUGCCUUCAUGGUGGACAACGAGGCCAUCUACGAUAUCUGCCGCCGCAACCUGGACAUCGAGCGCCCAACCUACACCAACCUCAACCGCCUCAUCAGCCAGAUCGUGUCCUCCAUCACGGCCUCCCUGCGCUUCGACGGGGCCCUGAACGUCGACCUGACAGAAUUCCAGACCAACCUGGUGCCCUACCCCCGCAUCCACUUCCCCCUGGCCACCUACGCCCCGGUCAUCUCCGCCGAGAAGGCUUAUCACGAGCAGCUCUCGGUGGCCGAGAUCACCAACGCCUGCUUCGAGCCGGCCAACCAGAUGGUGAAGUGUGACCCCCGGCACGGCAAGUACAUGGCGUGCUGCCUGCUGUACCGCGGGGACGUGGUGCCCAAGGACGUCAACGCCGCCAUCGCCACCAUCAAGACCAAGCGCAGCAUCCAGUUCGUGGACUGGUGCCCCACGGGUUUCAAGGUUGGCAUCAACUACCAACCCCCCACGGUGGUGCCCGGGGGGGACCUGGCCAAGGUGCAGCGCGCGGUGUGCAUGCUGAGCAACACCACGGCCAUCGCCGAGGCCUGGGCCCGCCUGGACCACAAGUUCGACCUGAUGUACGCCAAGAGGGCGUUCGUGCACUGGUACGUGGGGGAGGGCAUGGAGGAGGGGAGUUCUCGGAGGCCCGGGAGGACAUGGCCGCCCUGGAGAAGGAUUACGAGGAGGUGGGGGUGGAUUCUGUGGAAGGGGAAGGUGAGGAGGAAGGGGAGGAAUACUAAAGGCUGGGUUCCUUCUGUCACUGUAGCAUGUCCACAAAAUGUCUGCUUCCAACACUUCCAUCUUUAUGCACUGGGUAUGUUCAGCUCCGGGGGUCUGGCCGGGGGG